UCUUUCUUUGCUGGCGACCGGCGCACGGGUGAGUAACACGUAUCCAACCUGCCCUUUACUCGGGGAUAGCCUUUCGAAAGAAAGAUUAAUACCCGAUAGUAUAAUGAUUCCGCAUGGUUUCAUUAUUAAAGGAUUCCGGUAAAGGAUGGGGAUGCGUUCCAUUAGGUUGUUGGUGAGGUAACGGCUCACCAAGCCUUCGAUGGAUAGGGGUUCUGAGAGGAAGGUCCCCCACAUUGGAACUGAGACACGGCCCAA
rnacentral:rRNA from 1 species